CUACACCCCUUCCAGAGUAUCAAUUGGAGGGCAAGUCUGGUGCCAGCAGCCGCGGUAAUUCCAGCUCCAAUAGCGUAUAUUAAACUUGUUGCAGUUAAAAAGCUCGUAGUUGAAUUUCUGCUGCAUCGCUUGCGUCCGUUUUUCCGGUUUCGCUUUCGUUGUGGCUUUUUUCGGAUUGCUUUUGCUUUCCGAUUUUUACUUUGAGAAAAUUAGAGUGCUUCAAGCAGGCUAUUGCCUUGAAUACUUUAGCAUGGAAUAAUGAAGUAGGACUUUGGUUCUA
rnacentral:rRNA from 1 species